rnacentral:rRNA from 1 species
CAACCUGCCUAUAACUAGGGAAUAACCUUGCGAAAGUAAGACUAAUACCCUAUGAUUUCCUUUGAUGACAUCGGAUUAGGAAUAAAGAUUUAUCGGUUAUAGAUGGGGAUGCGUCUGAUUAGCUUGUUGGCGGGGUAACGGCCCACCAAGGCAACGAUCAGUAGGGGUUCUGAGAGGAAGGUCCCCCACAUUGGAACUGAGACACGGUCCAAACUCCUACGGGAGGCAGCAGUGAGGAAUAUUGGUCAAUGGGCGGAAGCCUGAACCAGCCAAGUAGCGUGCAGGAUGACGGCCCUAUGGGUUGUAAACUGCUUUUAUACAGGAAUAAAGUUAGCCACGUGUGGUUAUUUGUAGGUACUGUAUGAAUAAGGACCGGCUAAUUCCGUGCCAGCAGCCGCGGUAAUACGGGAGGUCCAGGCGUUAUCCGGAUUUAUUGGGUUUAAAGGGAGCGUAGGCCGUCUGUUAAGCGUGUUGUGAAAUGUAGAUGCUCAACAUCUGAAUUGCAGCGCGAACUGGCAGACUUGAGUGUGCGCAACGUAGGCGGAAUUCGUGGUGUAGCGGUGAAAUGCUUAGAUAUCACGAAGAACUCCGAUUG